rnacentral:lncRNA from 1 species
AAAUAAUAUCCACAACACAAGGCACUUGUAACAAUACCAUUAGAAACUCUCUAUAAUGGCCUAGUACUCAGUAAGGAUUGAAGUUUUGGUGACUGUAGCUAUCAUUAUGAAUGCCAGUGGGCUAGUGAUAGUAAUAAUCAUGGACAAUCCAUUAGUUUAGCAUAGCUCUCAUAGAUCUACAGGUAACUAGGUCCACAGGAACCAUUCAAGUCAUUGGGCUAUGCACAGAUAUGAGGCUAUGUCCUCAUAUAUCCAGAUAUGAGGCAAUGUGAAGAGUCAGCAUAAGCUUCCCAGCACUUCUCCCUGCCAAGUUCUGCCUUUGGACAUAACAAAUGCUGUUUGAGCUCAGAUCCUGGAGAGGCUGACUGAAGAAUCACUGGUAACUGUGAAAUCUGAAAGUUCAAGUGGAGUAGCUGUGACAGAAGCAGAAGUCUGAGCUGCCAUAAGUGGGUGAUUCCAGGAAGGACAAAAGGACUUGAGCUAUCCCUUGAAUGAAGAGUUAGCGUCCAGUUAUUAGCAAGGAAGCCAGGUACACCUUGGAAAUGCAGACCCAGCUGCACUACAGCUGCA